GACGAACGCUGGCGGCGUGCUUACACAUGCAAGUCGAACGGAAAGGCCCUGCUUGCAGGGUACUCGAGUGGCGAACGGGUGAGUAACACGUGGGUGAUCUGCCCUGCACUUCGGGAUAAGCCUGGGAAACUGGGUCUAAUACCGGAUAGGAGCCAUUUUUAGUGUGAUGGUUGGAAAGUUUUUUCGGUGUAGGAUGAGCUCGCGGCCUAUCAGCUUGUUGGUGGGGUAAUGGCCUACCAAGGCGGCGACGGGUAGCCGGCCUGAGAGGGUGGACGGCCACAUUGGGACUGAGAUACGGCCCAGACUCCUACGGGAGGCAGCAGUGGGGAAUAUUGCACAAUGGGCGCAAGCCUGAUGCAGCGACGCCGCGUGGGGGAUGACGGCCUUCGGGUUGUAAACUCCUUUCGCUAGGGACGAAGCUUUUGUGACGGUACCUAGAUAAGAAGCACCGGCUAACUACGUGCCAGCAGCCGCGGUAAUACGUAGGGUGCGAGCGUUGUCCGGAUUUAUUGGGCGUAAAGGGCUCGUAGGUGGUUGAUCGCGUCGGAAGUGUAAUCUUGGGGCUUAACCCUGAGCGUGCUUUCGAUACGGGUUGACUUGAGGAAGGUAGGGGAGAAUGGAAUUCCUGGUGGAGCGGUGGAAUGCGCAGAUAUCAGGAGGAACACCAGUGGCGAAGGCGGUUCUCUGGGCCUUUCCUGACGCUGAGGAGCGAAAGCGUGGGGAGCGAACAGGCUUAGAUACCCUGGUAGUCCACGCUGUAAACGGUGGGUACUAGGUGUGGGGUCCAUUCCACGGGUUCCGUGCCGUAGCUAACGCUUUAAGUACCCCGCCUGGGGAGUACGGCCGCAAGGCUAAAACUCAAAGGAAUUGACGGGGCCCCGCACAAGCGGCGGAGCAUGCGGAUUAAUUCGAUGCAACGCGUAGAACCUUACCUGGGUUUGACAUGGAUCGGGAGUGCUCAGAGAUGGGUGUGCCUCUUUUGGGGUCGGUUCACAGGUGGUGCAUGGCUGUCGUCAGCUCGUGUCGUGAGAUGUUGGGUUAAGUCCCGCAACGAGCGCAACCCUUGUUCACUGUUGCCAGCACGUUAUGGUGGGGACUCAGUGGAGACCGCCGGGGUCAACUCGGAGGAAGGUGGGGAUGACGUCAAGUCAUCAUGCCCCUUAUGUCCAGGGCUUCACGCAUGCUACAAUGGCUGGUACAGAGAGUGGCGAGCCUGUGAGGGUGAGCGAAUCUCGGAAAGCCGGUCUCAGUUCGGAUUGGGGUCUGCAACUCGACCUCAUGAAGUCGGAGUCGCUAGUAAUCGCAGAUCAGCAACGCUGCGGUGAAUACGUUCCCGGGGCU
rnacentral:rRNA from 1 species